GCUGCGAUAUUAAAGUGAUUAAGAGUUGACUCGAAAUCAAAUGGGCUCUGCCCGCACAGGUUCAAUCCUGUUCGCAGCG
rnacentral:tRNA from 1 species